rnacentral:rRNA from 1 species
GACGAACGCUGGCGGCGUGCCUAAUACAUGCAAGUCGAGCGCAGGAAACUGACGGAACUCUUCGGAGGGAAGGCAGCGGAAUGAGCGGCGGACGGGUGAGUAACACGUAAGGAACCUGCCUCAAGGAUUGGGAUAACUCCGAGAAAUCGGAGCUAAUACCGGAUAGUUCAUCGGACCGAAUGGUCCGUUGAUGAAAGGCGCUUCGUCGUCACCUUGAGAUGGCCUUGCGGUGCAUUAGCUAGUUGGUGGGGUAACGGCCCACCAAGGCGACGAUGGAUAGCCGGCCUGAGAGGGUGAUCGGCAACACUGGGACUGAGACACGGCCCAGACUCCUACGCGGGGCAGCAGGAGGGAAUCUUCCACAAUGGACGAAAGUCUGAUGGAGCAACGCCGCGUGAGUGGUGAAGGUUUUCGGAUCGUAAAACUCUGUUGUCAGGGAAGAACACGUACGAGAGGGAAUGCUCGUACCUUGACGGUACCUUACGAGAAAGCCACGGCUAACUACGUGCCAGCCGCCGCGGUAAUAC